AUUCAUGACUGGGUUUUUGUGUACACGUUUCAAAUCAGUUGGAUUUGAUCUUCAACAAAGCUGACACUGGGGAAAGGACACACUCUUCAAUAAAUGGUGCUGGGAAAAUUGGAUAGCCACAUCCAGAAGAAUGAAACUGGACCACUAUCUCACUAUAUACAGGAAUCAACUCAAAGUAAAUUAAAAACUUAAACAUAAGACCUGAAACUAUAAAAAUACUUGAAAAAACCUAGGGAAAAAUUUCCUGGACUUUUGUCUAGGCAUAGAAUUUAUGACUAACAUCUCAAAAGUCACAAGCAACACAAAUAAAAAUAGACAAAUGGGACUUAAUUAAAUUAGAAAGCUUCUGAGCAGCAGAAGAAAUAAUCAGCAGAGCGAAGAGACAACCUCCUGAAUGGAGGAAAAUAUUUGCAAACUAUUCAUCUAAUAGUGGGCUAAUACCUAGAAUUUACAAAAAACCUAAACAACUCACAGGAAAAAAAAUAAUUCCACUGGAAAGUGGCCAAAGGAUAUAAAUAGACAUUUCUCAAAAGAAGACAUACAAAAGGCCAAAAGAUAUAUGAAAAAAUACUCAACAUCACUAAUCAUUAUAGAAAUGCAAAUCAAAGCCACAAUGAAAUAUUAUUUUCCCCUAGUCAUAAUGACUAUUACUAAAAACAAAAACAAAAACAAAGCAAAACAAAACAAAACAAAAUAUAACAGAUUGAAAAAGGAACUCUUCUACACUGUUGGUGGGAAUGUAAACCAGUAUAGCAACUGUGGAAAACAUUAUGGAGAUUCCUUACAAAAGUAAAAAUAAAAUUACCAUUGGAUCCAGC
rnacentral:lncRNA from 10 species